GAUCCUGCCAAAGGUUUCUAUCCACUGAUUCUUUUCAUUUACUUCAGCAAGGACAGAGUUUUCUGAAGGGUUUCGUCCUUCUUAUCUUUGUAGCACAUCCUUUAUUAGUCAAAGGAGCAGUUUCAACAGUGGAUGAGCAAGCGACGGCGGACUUCGAACCAGCGUCACCUAAGAGAGAGUAAAGGGACCGAGAACCAUAUGGAGACGCGGCCAGUAUAGGAAAGAGCGUUCUCCGUGCCAGCUCAAGGAGGGGAAG
rnacentral:lncRNA from 1 species